UGGGGAAUAUUGGGCAAUGGGCGAAAGCCUGACCCAGCAACGCCGCGUGAAGGAAGAAGGCCUUCGGGUUGUAAACUUCUUUUAUCAGGGACGAAGGAAGUGACGGUACCUGAUGAAUAAGCCACGGCUAACUACGUGCCAGCAGCCGCGGUAAUACGUAGGUGGCAAGCGUUAUCCGGAUUUACUGGGUGUAAAGGGCGCGUAGGCGGGGAUGCAAGUCAGAUGUGAAAUCUAUGGGCUCAACCCAUAAACUGCAUUUGAAACUGUAUCUCUUGAGUGUCGGAGAGGUAGAUGGAAUUCCUAGUGUAGCGGUGAAAUGCUUAGAUAUGACGAAGAACUCCGAUUGCGAAGGCAGCCUGCUGUAGCGCAACUGACGCUGAAGCUCGAAAGCGUGGGUAUCGAACAGGAUUAGAUACCCUGGUAGU
rnacentral:rRNA from 1 species